GUGACCUGCCCUGGAGUGGGGAAUAACUAUCCUAACGGAUAGCUAAUACCGCAUAUGCUCGGUGAUUCAUUUUGCCGAGUAAAGUCGAAAGGCGCUUCAGGAUGGGCCUGCGGCGGAUUAGGUAGUUGGUGGGGUAACGGCCUACCAAGCCGAUGAUCCGUAGGGGGCGUGAGAGCGUGGCCCCCCACACUGGCACUGAGAUACGGGCCAGACUCCUACGGGAGGCAGCAGUGAGGAAUAUUGCGCAAUGGGCGAAAGCCUGACGCAGCAACGCCGCGUGAGGGACGAAGGCCUUCGGGUCGUAAACCUCUUUUCUGGGGAAAGAGCAAGGACGGUACCUCAGGAAUAAGUCUCGGCUAACUACGUGCCAGCAGCCGCGGUAAAACGUAGGAGGCGAGCGUUAUCCGGAUUUACUGGGCGUAAAGCGCACGCAGGCGGCUUCGUUAGUCGGGUGUGAAAGCUCCUAGCUUAACUGGGAGAGGCCACUCGAUACUGCGAGGCUUGAGGUUGGGAGAGGGGUGUGGAAUUCCCGGUGUAGUGGUGGAAUGCGUAGAUAUCGGGAGGAACACCUGUGGCGAAAGCGGCACCCUGGCCCACACCUGACGCUGAGGUGCGAAAGCGUGGGGAGUAAACAGGAUUAGAUACC
rnacentral:rRNA from 1 species